rnacentral:lncRNA from 1 species
GAAAAGUCUUGACAAGAUUCCAGAUGUUCCUGGUCUUCUCUCAUAUCGUAAAGAUAAUAAACAACUUUACGUCAAUCAAGGAUCAAAGUGGCAAGCAUUGGGGAAAGAACAGGAGGUUUGACCCUAAAUGUGGAUUAGGGGUAGCACCGAAGAGAAAAUGGUGGGUAAACAAACUUUUGAGUGAAUAAACGUAAAGGUUGAGUAAGGGACUGGUCAUAAAGUAACUGCUAGGGUGGGCUGGAGGUAAAUCACAAAUUAUGCCAAUAAGUUCGGUGACCCAUCUUAGGAUGUAGAUAAAAAUUUCAAAGCCCAUCUAAUCUUACAAAAAAAUUUUAAUGACCCACCCAAUCUAAAUCGGGAAAAUACACUUUUAUAAUAAAAAACUUGUAGGUAUGAACAUUUAAAUAUAUAUGGCACUGUAUUGACAUACAUAAUUCCACCAAGCUUGACCAACACAUUCAUCAUCAAUUACGAUACUGAGCUGCUCUCCAGUUGGUUGUAUUUGCUGCGUUCGACCACUUCUUGUUGUUGUAUAAACAAAGUACUGUCUUCAAUAGCAUCAUUUGCAUUUGAUAAUUUGGAUGGUUUCGUUUAUUUUUAUUAUUAAUAUCUUUAUUUUUUGAAGUAGACAUGCAUGGGUUUUUGUUUGGUGGCCCAACCGCGGACAUACAAAAAAAUUGGCGGCCCAUCGAAACUGCCCGAAGAUUUUCCAUGGCCCAUCCCAAAUCACUCCAGCCUACCCUAGCAGUUAUUUUAUGACCGGUCCCUAAAUGAAAACAAAACAACUCAAAGGUUAGGUAAUAAAAAUGUAUUGUUAUUUCCAAAGCAUGACUUACUCAAACAUUGAAUUAAUAAGCAAUGUCAUCAGUCGUAUUUCAAUACAUAGUGAAUACAAUUUGUAAAUCAAUCAGGAGGAAAAUGGUGUCUCCAAAGGAAAACAUGUGCAGACAACAUGAAACUUUAGAGUGCAGAAAAUUGCACAAGCAGUUAUCAAACUCAUGCCAUAUAUCACAGAAGUGGUAAAGGACAUGUGUGACAACUAAAUGGUAUCCUAUUGUAAGUUUUUGACGAGGGUUGCAUGAGUAUUUAUUUUUUAAUUCAUAUUCAUUGAGGUUGGGCAAAGAAUUAUUUUUUACUUUUUGUAUUGGUUAGAUCAGGGAAACAUCUCUCUUCGUUGCCACUCUCCUUCCCCACCAUAAACAAUGGCCUUCCCCUAACGAUAGAAUCUAUCUCAAGGUUCAACAACUACAACAAAAAGUGAAAACACAAGGAAAGACAAUCCAGACUCAAGAAACGAUGAUAGAGAAGAUGGAAAAGGAACAUGAAGGUAGAGUAAUCAAUGACAAUGGAAUCUCUAAGUAGUCUCCAUUCGAAGUAGCCUUUUAUGUUUAAUAUAUUCCUGUACUUUUAAUUUGGCUAAAACCCGUCGUCAAUGCCGCUAUAGCUCAUAGUUGGGCAUAACAGCAGAGUUAUAAGUGAUUGUGCAAAGGCCAUAGUCCUGCUAUAGGACAAAACUGGGGGUUUUCAUACUGUAGUUAACUACCUUUCAUGUUAAAGUUAGCGUGAAGAUUUUGUUUAAACUGGAAAGGGGAUUUGCACUUUAAACAAAGACUGUUAUUUUUUACAGGUAUAUACUUCGAAUUGUGUUAACAAUUUUCAUGCAAUUGAACAGUUUUGUAAGAUUUGUCGACGACAAACGUGCCCUCAGCCCCUGUAGUGCAUUUUAUUUUAUAAAGCUCCAAGCACUUAACCUAACCAGAAUUUUGUGACAUGAGCUAUAAAAAUGGUGACAGCUAAUUAUACGCACAUGUAAAGGCAUAUAUAUGAAUAUUUUUUACACAAGUAAUUAACACAGCAUUUAUUUACCAUUGCAGAAUUUAAGAGCUUCAUGGAGCAACUUGAUGCACCCGGUUGUUGUACCGAUUUGCCACGACGAAACUCUAGUCUGUCAAGUGGAAUCUACAACAUCAGCCCUAAAAGUCGAUCGUUUAAUACAUCGGCUGCUAAAUCGGUUGCCGUUUACUGUGACAUGACGUCAAAGAAUGGUGUUGGUGUGACGGUGAUUGGGCAUGACAGUGAAUCAAGAACACUUGUGAAGGGGUAUGAAAGUAGAGGAAGUUACAAACGAAGCAUCAAAUACGAUUUGCCUAUGGAACAGAUUGAUGCAAUCGUAGAACGGUCCACGAAUUGUGAGCAGUUUAUAAAAUAUGAAUGUUAUGGUAGUGGUUUCUGGUUUUCUUAUCCUGACCCUAGUCGACCUGACAGUUGGUGGGUAUCACGUCAAGGUUUACCGAUGAAUUACUGGGGUGGAGCGGCAGUCGACAGUGGACAAUGUGCAUGUGGAAUGACCGACAGUUGUGGUCGAAGAGAAGAUAGAAGAUGUAAUUGUGACAAGAAUGAUGACACAUGGCGUGAAGACAGUGGAUAUCUCACUGACAAGAACACACUACCUGUCACUGAGCUGAGAUUUGGAGAUACCGGUGACGAUAGAGAGCAAGGAUACCACACACUUGGGAAAUUGCGAUGUUGGGGUUAAGAAUAAGGACGAUUAUUUUCAUCUUAUGAAACAUAUCAAGCUACUUUAUAUACAUUUCUAGACUGUACGUAACGUAGACUAACAUAAAAAACAGUCUGAAACAUAAGUAAAACGUAGUUACCAGGGCCGUAGCUAGGGGGNNNNNNNNNNNNNNNNNNNNCAACUUUUUUAGAAUUAAUAUAUUCGGAAAAUCGGGUUGGCCAUUCGGAAAAUUACGACAAUAAUAGUAUAACAAAAUUUUAGUUGUUAAACAGAGAAUUUUUUUAUUGUAGUUCAUGUCUAUAAGGUUAAUACAUGUAUGUUUUUAUAUAGUCUCUUGUUUAAGUACUAGAUAAAACAUGAGCAUCCGAUCUUUAUCUGAUAUAGAAACUCGAGCCGAAGGCGAGUGUUUGUAUAUCAGAUAAAGAUUGGAUGCUCAUGUUUUGUUGAGUGUUUGAUAGACUCAUAUGAGAUGGACAUGUUUGCUAACUAUAGAUAUUCUUUGUUGAAGGCAGAAGCUCGCUGAUGUCCUUCCCCUUGCUGAGAAAUUUGAAUAGUCUUUUGUUUCAUGACAAGUUGUCAUUUGGAAAUGAAUGAGCUUAAAUUAUAGAGAGCUCCUUUCGCCAUUACGGUUCAAGACACUGAAGAAAGCAGGUCGAACGUGCUGGAAACAAACUUAGAAAAAAAAAGCCAUGUCUUCAAACGUUCUGUGGAAAAUUCUGAUUUUUUCAGUCUGUUUGAGGCAUUCAUUUGUCUACAAUAGCUUCUGGUUUAUCGCAAAGCAAUAAGGUUAGUCAAGUCAGUUUUAUUAUAUUUGGUGUAUGCAUGUGUUAAGUUAAGCCUUAAAUUUCUUAGUUUUAAGUUUUUUUCGCCCACCAAAGUUCACGAAGGCUGACUAUUCCAUCUAAAACUCGCGAAGUUUGAACUUGCACAAGAAAUUGUUCAUUACAAAUUUCAAAAUUCACUUUUUACUUCAGAAUUUCACUAAAUGUAAUCCUGCAGGCAAGCAAAUCAGUCACGAAAACCUAACUGGGCGCGUCAAGAACUUGAUUUGUGUAUAGGAGAAAAAAACGGAGUCACUCAAUGGCAAUAUACCGAUGGUAAGGUGUUAACGACCUCUGUAUACAGUAGUUGUGAAUUAAUGGUCUGUAGUAACAUUAGACUGAGACA